rnacentral:rRNA from 1 species
GUACACUCCUACGGGAGGCAGCAGUGGGGAACAUUGGACAAUGGGCGCAAGCCUGAUCCAGCCAUGCCGCGUGAGUGAUGAAGGCCCUAGGGUUGUAAAGCUCUUUCACCGGUGAAGAUAAUGACGGUAACCGGAGAAGAAGCCCCGGCUAACUUCGUGCCAGCAGCCGCGGUAAUACGAAGGGGGCUAGCGUUGUUCGGAUUUACUGGGCGUAAAGCGCACGUAGGCGGACUAUUAAGUCAGGGGUGAAAUCCCGGGGCUCAACCCCGGAACUGCCUUUGAUACUGGUAGUCUUGAGUUCGAGAGAGGUGAGUGGAAUUCCGAGUGUAGAGGUGAAAUUCGUAGAUAUUCGGAGGAACACCAGUGGCGAAGGCGGCUCACUGGCUCGAUACUGACGCUGAGGUGCGAAAGCGUGGGGAGCAAACAGGAUUAGAAACCCGAGUAGUCCCAUGA